rnacentral:rRNA from 2 species
CGACCUCAGAUCAGGUGGGACUCCCCGCUGAAUUUAAGCAUAUUAGUAAGCGGAGGAAAAGAAACUAACCAGGAUUCCCUUAGU